GUUUGCAAUGACGUCAUAUUUGCGUGUGUCCCGGCCUUAUUCUAAGAUAUAGAUAAUCUAUUUCGGUUUAUACCUGACUGAUUUCAAACUUAUUUUUGCAAAACCUGUUUCCCCUAAAGUCUUUCUUUAUGUCUUUUAUAGAUAAAUAGUAAAACUCUAAGCUAUUGUAGAGUUGCAGACGGCUAAAGUCUUUUUAUUUCACCUGUUUCUCAGGCUGUAGUGUGGAGUGGGGGUAGUGCGGUUGGAUUGUAGCGAGACCUAUUGCAUCGGCUGGGCAUCACACGGCCAUCUGUCGUUGAUGGGGGGACAUUAGAAGGUGUUAGCGACCUGAUUUCUAUGGAAGAAUUGACGUUAGAGCAAUUUGAAUUAUUCGGGAGAGAGACAGCCGAUAACGGGAGUAGAGACGCAUACGGCGAGUAUC
rnacentral:lncRNA from 1 species